GAAAUACAUGGUGUUCCCUCUUUGCCGGUGGAUAUGUGCAUGCUUUCCUGAAGAAUUAAUUAAGAAGCUAAACAGAGAAAAAGAUAACACUCAAGAAGCUGCCUAUAUGUAAGAGAUUCCUCUGAGAACUUUCAAAUGGCUCCUUUCUACAAAAGACCUGGGAAUACUUAAUCCCCCACCACUAGCACACUCAAAGCUCAAGGCAAGUGCGUAUUCAAGAUUGACAGGGUCAUGGACUCUGAAAGUCUUUGGACCUGAGAAAAAUCGUGCUAUCUAAGAGUGCAGUUAUUCUGACACAGACUGACAUCAGGUGCCCACGACAUGAAACACAGAAGAGAAAAAUAGCAUCUACCUUAUAGGAAGACAUACUAUAUUCUCGACCACAUAUUUGAUAAUUCUUACAGCCCUUUAAAGAUAAUCAUAACUAAAAUAUUAUUUUGUAACUCA